AACGAACGCUGGCGGUAUGCUUAACACAUGCAAGUCGAACGGACUUAUUAGAGCUUGCUUUAAUAAGUUAGUGGCAAACGGGUGAGUAACACGUGGGAAUCUACCCAUCAGUACGGAAUAACAUUUGGAAACAAAUGCUAAUACCGUAUAUUCUCUACGGAGGAAAGAUUUAUCGCUGAUGGAUGAGCCCGCGUUAGAUUAGGUAGUUGGUAGGGUAAUGGCCUACCAAGCCGACGAUCUAUAGCUGGUCUGAGAGGAUGAUCAGCCACACUGGGACUGAGACACGGCCCAGACUCCUACGGGAGGCAGCAGUGGGGAAUAUUGGACAAUGGGCGAAAGCCUGAUCCAGCAAUACCGCGUGAGUGAUGAAGGCCU
rnacentral:rRNA from 1 species